CGGACUGCAGUCUGCGACUCGACUGCACGAAGCUGGAAUCGCUAGUAAUCGCGGAUCAGCACGCCGCGGUGAAUACGUUCCCGGGCCUUGUACACACCGCCCGUCACACCAUGGAAGUCUGCAAUGCCCGAAGCCGGUGGCCUAACCACUUAUGUGGAAGGAGCCGUCUAAGGCAGGGCAGAUGACUGGGGUGAAGUCGUAACAAGGUAAC
rnacentral:rRNA from 1 species